rnacentral:lncRNA from 1 species
CAAGGCUGAGGAGCUGCAUCUGGUGAGGGUCUUCUUGCUGGUGGCCUUCUUCUGCAGAGUCCUGAGGUGCUGCAGGGGAUCUUGUGGCAGAUACUGCUGUGACAAACCACCACAAACCGUGUGGCCAACAACACAGAAAUUCAUCCUCUCAUGGCUCUGGGGGCCAGAAGUCCAAUGUCAAGGUGUCAGGUAGGCCGUGCCCCUCCACAAGCUCCGGGGAGGAUCUCCCCUUUUCUCUUCCGGCUUCUAGUGGCCCCGGGUGCUCCUUGGCUUGU